rnacentral:rRNA from 1 species
GAGUUUGAUCUUGGCUCAGAGCGAACGCUGGCGGCAGGCUUAACACAUGCAAGUCGAGCGGGCCCUUCGGGUCAGCGGCGGACGGGUGAGUAACGCGUGGGAACGUGCCUUCUGGUUCGGAAUAACCCUGGGAAACUAGGCUAAUACCGGAUACGCCCUUUUGGGGAAAGGUUUACUGCCGGAAGAUCGGCCCGCGUCUGAUUAGCUAGUUGGUGGGGUAAUGGCCUACCAAGGCGACGAUCAGUAGCUGGUCUGAGAGGAUGAUCAGCCACACUGGGACUGAGACACGGCCCAGACUCCUACGGGAGGCAGCGAGUGGGGAAUAUUGGACAAUGGGCGCAAGCCUGAUCCAGCCAUGCCGCGUGAGUGAUGAAGGCCUUAGGGUUGUAAAGCGUCUUUA